rnacentral:rRNA from 1 species
UCCGGCGGGUACUAGCGUUGUUCGGAAUUACUGGGCGUAAAGCGCGCGUAGGCGGAUUUGCAAGUCGGGGGUGAAAUCCCGAGGCUCAACCUCGGAACUGCCUUCGAUACUGCAAAUCUCGAGUCCGGAAGAGGUGAGUGGAAUUCCUAGUGUAGAGGUGAAAUUCGUAGAUAUUAGGAAGAACACCAGUGGCGAAGGCGGCUCACUGGUCCGGUACUGACGCUGAGGCGCGAAAGCGUGGGGAGCAAACAGG